UUCAGAUCCAUGUUGCGUCACACCUGUUUGCUCCCUGCCUCGUCUCUAAGUGACUGUAAAAUGCUCUCCUAAUCUAGUUCCCGUCUUGGACCCUGAGCUUUGUCUCCUGGGCUUCAUGCACUUAUUUAUUCUCCAUUAAAAGUAUAAAUCUGAAGGCUUUCCCAGGCUAGUGUCUUGGUGAGACUCAGACUCAUUUUGUGAACCUGCAUUAGAAAAGCAAACUCCAAAUCCCUCCUGACAGGGGUGGGGCCUAUCUAACCAGGGUGUUGCUGCUCGAGAUGUGACAUCAGACAGAAAAACAGGCUCAUAUCAGAGCUAACACUUAAAGAAAACACCAGCCGUCUCAGAGCUGUGACUAUUUUCAAGGCUACUGUUUUUCUCUGUGGAACACUGCCUUUGGGACAAAACAAGGAAGAAGCAGCUUCCUAAGUGACAAGAGCCAUGUAGUAGGUGCUCUGGGGGCCCCGGACCGCCUGUGACUCCAGCAACUGCCCUGGAGGACUUUCCUGGGCACUGGGAAACCUUUCUCACCUGGCAGGUGCCCUGAAGUGGCGGUGAGCUGAUACACGGUAAGCUUCACCCGGGGGAGGGCGUCAC